GCUAACACUGGUGGUCUGUGUCAGUGCCGCAGGAGGUGAUCAGAUGUACGUCUUAUCUAUCUGCUACCACCAUCGUAGGGAGAGGGUGGCAGCUCAGGCCCGGGCGUGGCAGGGCCUGGCAGGAAGGGGCUGGCCUCGGUGCUGUUGGGAGCAAGGCUUACUUGGCAACGGGGAGUGAGGAUCUGGGUGGGGCCAGAGACCCAGACUUUCGGGCCUGCAGAACUGCAUUCUGCUGACACCCUUUAAUGGGGUGGAAAAUCGAGGGAUUUACAAGGUCUUGAGGAGUAGCACAAAGGCAAAGUGACAUUUUCUUCUUUGCCUUUUAUAUAGCAAAUAUAUCAAAACAUUGAAAGAAUAGUACCAUGAACACCUGUUAACAGGUGUUCACCGAGAAUCACCAGUUGUUCAUAGUUUGCUGUUUGCUUUCUCUCACCCUUUACACAACACACACACACACACACACACACACACACACGCUUUUUCCUGUACAAGUGCACAUAUCAUGACACUUCACCCCUAAAUACUUCCAUAUGUGUCCCCUAAGAAUUAGGACAUUCUCCUCAAUAAACACAACAGCAUUUUUGCAUCUAAGCAUAUGAACAAUUACCCCAUAAUACCAGUGACAUCUAAGCCGUGUCAAAUGCCCCCUAGUUGUCCCCAGAUUUUUUCAACAGGAGCCAACCGAAGUCCCUGCUGUGUGUUGGUUGUCGGGUCUGCUCUUAGGUCUGUUUCAAUCCAGAGCAGCCCCACCCCCACUUCUUCUCUGCCAUGACUUUGGCUUUUGGACAAGUCCAGGCGAGUUGACUGGUAGGACAUCGUCUGCUCUGGAUUUGUCGGAUAGUGGCAAUUCUUUUUCUUUUUCUUUUAGUAAGAGCUUUAUUGAGAUAUAAUUCACAUACUAGACAGUUCACCCACUUAAAGUGAACUAUUCAACGGCUUUUAGUAUAUUCACAGAUAUGUGCAUUCAUCACCACAGUCCCUUUAAAGCAUUUUCAUCACCUCAGAAAGAAACCUGUUAACUCUUACCCACAAAGCCGCCCUUUCCAGCCCUAAGUAACCACUCAUCUACUCUCCUGUCUCUGCAGACGCUCCACACCUGGAUUAUCAUAUGAAUGGAAUCACGCAUAUGCGGCCUUUUGUGACUGGUUUCCCUGACGGACAGUCCGGGUAGCAUCCCUUUCUCUGGUUGAAUAAUAUCCCGUUGUCUGGACACACAUUUUGUUUAUCACUUGUCCAUCAGUGGACAUUUGGGAGGUUUCCACAAUUUGUUAAUACGAAUAGUGCUGCUACAAGCAAGCGUUUGGGAACAAGUUUUGGUGGGGACAUGUUUUCAUUUCUCUUGGGUAUAUACCUAGGAGUGGAAUUGCUGGGUCCUCUGGGAAGUCGACAUUUAAUCAUUUCCCCUGUCUCUCUCCCAACUCCCCACACCCAUGACGUGUGAGUUCCGUGCGGGCAUCUCUCAGUACCUGCCUGUCUCAGGCUGGCACAGUGCCCACACCAAAGGGGCCCCAUAAACAUUCAUUAAGUGAAGGAACUCUAGGGCCUCCCCCUUUGACCCACCAUUGGGAAGAAUUUUCACGGUUCCCAAGUUCUGGUGGCUGGUACCAAACUGGGGGGAGCUCCAGAGGGCUGGUAAUCCUCUCCCCGCAGGGACCCCUUUCUGCUCCAGAGCCCAGGCCUUUGGGAGGCAAAGGCUGUUCCAGAGCGAGAAGAAGUGACUCCUUGCAGGUUGGGCGUUUCAGGACCCAGCUCUCAGCAAAACCACUAGUAACGCCAGAGCUGAGGCGCCUGCAGCCGGCAGCGGACGGACCCCCGGGCCUGCCCUCCCGUGGCUGCCUCUCUCGGCUGCGCUCAGGCCUCCGCAGCCUCCCCAUCCUGUCUGGAGAGCCGAGGCCUCACCUCAUCUUUCUCCUCCCCUCUCCCUGCUCUGCCCUCUUUCCUGCUCCCCUUCUCCUGUCAUCUCCCCCAGCAGUGCACAGCAGGUGGCACACAGUAGGUGCACAGCAGCUAUCAGUUCACUGGUUCCAUGUAUAACGCUUUCCUCUUAUUGGGAAACAGAUGGAGAUGCUCCCUCCUAACUCUUCCCAUCAUUUGAGUGAACAGAUGACAGGGAGAUGGUACAUAUUGAACGAACGAACGAACGAAUGAAUGAAUGAAUGAAUGAAUGAAUGAGACAAAUAAGCUGAGCUUCAUAACGGUCGGGUUGGGUGGACUGCCCCGUCUCAGACUGCGAUCAGAAAGGUUGAGAGCAUAAACCAGCCUACUUUGCUUUUUCUUUCUUUUAAAAGAAUUAUUAAUUUUGAAUUACAGAAGCGUGCAUGAAUAUAUCCUCAUGGUGAGGGAAGAAUGCAGACAGUGCAGAUAAGGCCACCGUCCCCGUCGUCUCCAGCUCCAGGCCCCCUGUCAUUCCAGAGGUGGAUGUGGCUGAUGGUGUGGAGGGUUCUCUCUGCAUAGUUGACAUAUUUGUGUGUGUGUGUCUCUGUGUUUCUGUGUCUGAUCACAAUAUUUGGCAUUGUUUUUGUAAACUUUCUUUUAAAGUUACUUUCUUUUUCAGGAAUAACCACAUUUCCUGGCACGCUUUCUACAUGAGAGCGUCUCAUGCUUUUCCCCUGCUGCUGUUGGAGCCCAAGGUGCCACCGCUUCUGUUAGCACACCCCUUCUGCUGUCAAUUUAUGAUGUUCCUAAAUAUUUGUUCCCACAGAGAAAGCUUCAGUGAACAUUCUUAUGUCCACCCCCUCAUGUCCCCAUGUCAUCGCCAGUUCAUGAAUUGGCAUGACCAUCACUUUCCUGAUGGCGCCAGUGGAAGAGGUCCACCGUGCUGCCCCUGCCUACAGCCUGCCCACCCUCUGGGCCUCGGUGUCAGUGAGUCCUCGAAGAACAGGCCCUGGAGAUCCAGGAGACCAUACAGGACGAGAGUCAGUGUGACGUGUCAGAGUGGGGUCCUCAGCCUGGAAGUAUUUCCCCAGUACCCACCACGCACCAGGCCCAACACAAGGCACCGAGGCAUGUUGGCAGCUUCGUCCCUGCUCAUGGGGCUCCCAGGCCACUGUGCAUCUGUGUAGGUGCUGGGCUGCAGUCCCAAGGUAAGGACUGGCUAGGGUGGCUGCCGGCCCCUGGAACGAUGGCCUGGAAUGAGUGACCUCUGUGGCACCACAGAGACUGGGUGUGUGAGGGUCGGUGGACAACCAUCUCGCCCAUCCCACCCAGCACCUCUGCAGCCUGAUACCGCACCUCUACCCGGCCCAGGGGUCGCCCAGCCCAAGCCCUGCACCCCUCCUGUCCUCUGCCCCUCCCUUCACCCGGCGCCAUGGUUUGCAGCUCCUCGGGCAAGCUCGGCACAGGUGCCAACGCUUAUUUCAGUCUCACAGCUUCCAUUUCCACAGCUUGGCACCUGCAAAGCUCCCCAUUAGAGUCACGCGGACGAGAGGGGCCGCUGCUGUGAGCCGCCGCCCGCGAGCCCACGUGCCCGUCUGCUGGUGCUCGCAGGAGCCACGAGGGAAAUUUCCAGCACAAAGACCAUGUGCCUGAGAGAGAGGGGAAUCGCUCAGCAAACUUCGGAAGCGAUCAAAAUGUCCUUCCCAUAAAGUCGCUGCUUAACAAAUGUUAGCAGUGUCCAACGGGCAUAGUGAAGCUAAGAUCUUCUGUCCCAGUGGGGAGAAGGAAGCAACAAACAAGGGGAACGGCCAUCCUCCAUCCUCGCUGCAAAGGAGAGAAGUCACACUGACUGGAAGGGGCCCCAGGGAAGGCCCAGGGGAGGUGGCUUUGGUGCCGGAGCAACACGAAGAGGAGACAGCUGGGAGGGGCCCGCCGUGGGGCAGACGGUCCCCAAGUGAGGGGAGGCCUUUGCUCAAAUGACACUCCUCGUGGAAGUCCAGGAG